GGUGAUCGCUUAGCCAGCGACUCGAGAGAGAGACACAUGAAGGAACGCGAACGCGAGAGAAGGAACGGGAAUAACAGGCAGCGCACACAUAAGCAGCCAACAGCGACCCGAAAGCACCUGAGACUCCUGCAUCCUGAGAGUCGAGAUCAAGGCCAAGGCGACCAAGCAAGGCGACUCCAGGCCACUGAAGGCAGUCCAGGCGGCCUUCUUCCGGCUUCCGGCCCAUCUGGGCCAUUUAGCUCCGAUAUCCGGUGCAAGAAGUCGCGCGUUCGGCCAUUCGGGCAAUUCGCUGCGAUUCGUCGACAAGACGGCGCGCGGCGCGCGGCGCGAACGAGUGUGAAAGAGCAGCGAACCAAAUGACCUUGAUUCGAGAUAACUUGCCAAACGAUCACAUUUUUUUCAACAGUCUUCUCUCUUUUCCUUCUUCUCGUUUUUCUGCACAUUCGUUCACGAUGAGACAACUUGAGAUUUUAGACUGCGGCAACUCUGUGAUACACGUUCAACAAUAUAGCGCACGGCAUGCGCUCAAUUCAUACGACUAACGUAAUUUUCUUUGGAAAUACAGUUUUAUCGCAGUUGAUCGAUUUUCAUCUUUUUAUUACAGACUUGCUUAAUGCCGCGAUUAUGAAUGUCGAUAUACAUAUAUUUAUUUGGAAAAAAAAUAUAUACUUUUAUUUGAGUGUGCAGCUCGUGUGCGAAAAUAUUGGCAGAAAACUAAAGCAACCCAGAUAUAUUAUACAUAGCGCAUGAAACAUUAAUUGCAACAAUAUUGCAACAACGUUCCUGUGCAAUGUUUCAUAUAUACUGCCUGGGAAUUUUUAAUAUAUUUUUGUCAAGAUAUGUACGAUAUAAGAAAUUUUGUUACAAAAUUAAUUAUUUAUAAUAUGCGUACGAUAUAUUAUAUUUCUUAAUCCUUAAAUGCACGCGCGGGCUUGUGUGUUACAGCCACAACAAACAAACGCACAAUAAACAAGACGCGUGUUAUUAAUUUCCGUUUUUCACUCUUUUAUAGCUUACAUAUUUUAGCUUAUUGUUAGAUAUUUUCGAAUCGGAUAUGCAUUGUCGUCAAUCUAGAUAUACAUAUUUCGUCGUCAUGACUGUUGGUAAAAAUUAUUUAUAUUAAAAAAUAUAAUAAGUUAAAUUCCAAUUGACGAAAUUUCAAUGUCAAUUAUACAAGGCUAGCAGGCUUUUGUCAGUCAUAGCGCUUCUUACAUUUAUAUAACGUACUGAAUAGUAAUUUUUAAUUUUUACAAUCUCCAUCAGCAUAAUUGGACUUGCGCGCCACAUAUUUGUCGGACUUGAAAUACAAUCGGAAUAUGUAAUAGCAAAUUUGAUUGGAUGUACUAGUGCGCACUGGUGCGCACGUUAAAACCGUUGCGUCGGCGUCGACGCGUACACAAAGAUAUGUAAAGAUAUGUAUUUAAUAUAAAUAUAUAAAUAGAUUAAAUUGUGAAAAGCCUCAAUCGAUAUUUUAUUAUACUAUUUAGUAAAAUAUACAUUUGAUCAUUUAAGAUAUUUAUUUUUAAACAAGAUUAGACGAGUAUACAGCGGCUUUAAUAUGUGUGGCGCAUCAGUGCGCACUUAUGAAAUAUGGUGCACAUUUAUGAAAUAGCUGAAUUCUGCUGAAUUCGCUAUAAUAUUAAUGUUUCAAAAGCAUUUCUAAUUCUUCCAGGGAGGGAGAAUUUUAUUAAUUCUUCUCAAGCAUUAAUAUAUUGCCUUUUUCAUCAUAUUAUAAUUACGGUCUCACUAUAAAUGCUGUGAAGCAUUUCGAGUGCGAUUAAUCAAGCGCUUCAAAGUAUUUCAGCGCUCAGCUUACUGCUUACGUCGCGUAACGUUUCGCUUCCAGUUCAAAUUGCCAUCGCUUACGACGCUAUCGUCGAAGCAGAUCGGUAGGGCAAGUUUUUAAUUCAUCAAUAGAUCAAUCGUAUUACGCACAGAUGCAACUUUGCUUUGUGAAAACUGAAAGGUCAUUUUACUUCGAAAGGAGAGACUACUUUCAAGGCGAUCUAUCAUUCGUAUCACUCGCUCCGGAGUAGCUCUUUUUGAUUCUUAUAUGAUAUAGCGAGUCGGAUACUUUUGGAACAGAACUUGUAAUCUGGAGAUUAUAUAAAAAUAAAUAUUAUUAUUCAGCACUAGAACCGCGCUCUAUCAUCUGGAACUCGUCGAUCUGCUAAUCUUAUGUUUAAAAGAAAUAUGUCUUAUUUAAAUGUAUUUGUACAAAAACUAAUUCAAUACUGUUGUGUAUACCUUUUAAGCUUGUGCUUUGUUUUUCAUUCACUUGUCAAUUUGUCAAAUUCUCAAUUCUAAGUUGAUCGGUAAUGUCUAAAUGUCAAGAAUAUAUCAACAGAUUUCAGACGCUAAUUAUUUAUAUCUAGGGUAUGUAACAUACGCUCACGCGUGCGAAGAUUAAUAUUAAAAAGUAAAAUGCGAUAUUGAUGCGACAAAUUAAAAUAAUCCUUGUAUUUCACAUGAAAAAAAAAAAGUUGGUAUGAUGUAAGUAAGAAAUGCAUUAUUUUUUAAUUAUCGCCAUUUUUAUGUUGAAAUUUUAAAUGUUUUUUUUGCAAUUUUGACAAAAAAUUCAAAAGUCAAACAUUUCAAAUUUUAACGUAAAAAUGACGAUAACUCCGAAACAAUGUUUCUAAACCCAUUUAAAUCCAUAAUUAUUUUCUUGUUUAUGGAUUCCAUUCACGUCCCGAGUAAUAAGUUCUUCACUUUUGAAACAUUCUGUAUACCAAGCAAAAAAGAGAUGAUUAUUGAAUGUAAGCUAGCGUAAGUUAAAACGUUUUAUUAUCCUUUCGAAAUGUUAAAUGCCUCGUAUCCUCUUAAGCUUCUUGGCGAAUAUGUAUAUAAUAUGUAUGUGUAAUAAAUAAAUUCUUUAAUUCUUUAAGA